ensembl:snRNA Gm24032 U1 spliceosomal RNA
AUACCUACCUGGCAGGGGAGAUACCAGGAUCAAGAAGAUGGCUUUCUCAGGGUGAGGCUUAUCCACUGCACACCAGAUGUGCUGACCCCUGCGAUUUCUCCAGAUGCAGAGAAACUGCAUAAUUUGUGGUAUUGAGGGAGUGAAUUUAUGUCUCCCCUG